UGGACAUAUCCUUCACCACGCCCCUAUUUCCUUCCAAUGGAAUGUAACGCGAUCUCUAUUUAAUAAAGGAAGGCUUUGUUGGUAGGGGCUAGGCGGCAGUGGCCUUCACUCCUGUGCCCUGGGGCUCUGGCCAGGGCUUGGGCAUCUGAAGGAAUGAAAUCAAAUCCUUUCCUAACUGGCCUCGUGCUUGGGAUUAAACCCAAAUCCUGAAGCUACCCCCAUGGCUACCACCACUUUCUUGCUGUAGGGAAGACUGUUGAAGUUGUCCUUAGCUUUUCACGGAGCUAUGAGGGAUUGGAAUGAGUUGACCACUCUCCUGAGAGUUCAGCUCUGAUCUGUGAAUCCCCCCAAAGCCCGUAGAGAUGACCCCAAGUCUACUAGAAGCCUGGAGUCAAAACACCCAGGCUUCCUGGGGCUGAUCGAUGCCACCUGUCAUAGGACAGAUGGGGACGACAGAAGUGCCAGGCAUGGCAGGCACAAGUGGAGGUGCGGGGCAACCGGGAUCCUGAGAGACCUCAGAGUAGGAAUGAGGAGAGAGAUGUCUUGUGGUUCUUGCCUCUGCCCAGCCAGUAGGGCUUUGUGCUUUCUGUUAGGAAGGUGCAGCAGAUUCUGGGCUGGGGCAGAGGUUGUCAGUAGCCCACAGAGAUUUCUCUAUUGGCCUGAGGCCCAGGUGUACUCAGAUGGUAGGUCAGCUGGGGGGCUGGCCAGAGCUUUGUCAAGGUCCUCUGCCGCCUUCACAUGUUCUCCGGCAAGUAGCUUGUUCCCAGGACUCUGCUGCCUCCAUUACCCCUCUGUUCUUAUAUCUCCUCCCUGCUCCACUAUGACUAGAAUCCUUUGCUGUGUCCCCAGCCCCCAUAGACACCUGGUCACUGACCAGACCCUGUCGUCUCCACUCAUUCACUAACUAAUACUGGGGUUUUCUCUGCUGGACAUUGGCCACAGCAUGCAUACCAGUAAUAUAUCUGCAUCCAGGUUACUGGAUGGAGGGAAGUAAAAGCCAAAGGAUGUCAGGGAAGGACGUGGUGUGCUGUGUGGAAUCCCAUGGCAUCCCCUGCUAUGUCAAACCCUUGUUCACCUGGAGACAAGAGUGGAUGAAAGCCUGAGCACUUUAAUCAGUCUUAACUUCUGGGUUCUGGGCCCAGCCAUAUGCAGGACCACAAAGCCACCAGGAAACACCCAGAGGCCCACAGAGGACCUUACUCCCCUGACUUGUCCUGCUUCUACAGAGCAUUGUCCAUGAUCUGAUGCCAGGUGGGGCCAUCAACACAGCCACACCCUGCUAGUAGCAAUUAAUAUCUAAGCACUAGUCAUAGCUCGCAGCCCUCUCUGUGAACCCAUUAUUCCAGUCUCUUAGCAAUGUUAAAACAUGCUAUUAUCCCUCAUGUAAAUGGAUAGAGGCACUGGAGAACACAAAGAGGUCCUGAGGUUGGGUUUAUUUACCUCAGUGGUAGAGGCUUGCCUAGCAAGUACAAGGCCCUAGCUGGUUCAGUCUCCUGCUCCAGGAAAAAAAAAGUCACAAAGGGGUCCUAAGUGUCUGGAACCUGUAGUAUUAACCUACCUCUUGGUGGUUUUUUGUUGGUUGGUUGGUUGGUUGGUUGGUUUUUGUGUUUUUAUACUGAACACUUUCAGUGAAUGUAGGUUUUUCACCUCUUUAAUUGAUGCAGAAGGGUGUGAGUGUAGAUCAGUGCUAGAGUGCUUAAUUCAAGGUCUGAGGUUUGGUCCCAGAACCACACACACAAAACAAAAGAAACAGAGACUGGGAUCGAAUUGUAACCUAGGUUCCUCUGCUGUACCCUGGAAGUAGCUCAGGGCUUCGACUCUUGGGGGUGACUUGAGAGGUUAACUGCCACACCAGAUGUUCUUAAAUUUUCUAGAUAACCCAUUUGGGUUUGAAGUCUUGGCACAUAGAAAUCAUCUGAGCUCUCCUUGGCUAGUCCUGAGUCUGGCUUCUAGGCAUGGAGGUAUUAAACCUGACUAAGCACAUUUACCUGGUGCAGGACCCUGAGAUGUCUCACUUUACCAUCUUGGUGCAGCACCUGAGAUAUCUCACUUCACCAUCUGCCAAACCUGCCCUGAUUUGAAUCCUGCCAGGGCUGUGACCUUGGAGCAAGUUGCUUUUCUCAGUUAUGAAUUGGGAUUAUUAUUCUUCCCACACAGACACAAACAAUCUUCCCUCAUUCACUCAUUCAUACAAUGCAUGCAUUUGGUGUUUGUGAGCUGUGCAUGUGUGAAUGCACAUGUGCCAUGGUUCACAAGGCAGAAGACAACUCUUAUAUUGUCUUGGUCCUCAUCUUCCCCCUUGUUUGAGGAAGUCUCUCUCAUUGACCCUUGAAGCAUAGGUCAGGCUAGCUUCUGGGAACUGUGCCAUCUCUGCCUCCCACCUUCCCACUAGGAGCAUAGGGAUUACAGGCAUGGACUACCGGAUCAAGCUUUAUAAGAUUUCUGCAGUUCUGGACUCAGGUCAUCAGACUUUCACAGGAGGUGCUUUACCCACGAAGCAAUCUCUGCCAUACUUAUUUUUUAAAAAAAUAAAAACCUAACAUGUAAUCUUACACAUUUUAAAGUGUAGAAUUAUACUUGUGCUAGGCACAUUCAUACUGCCAUGAAACCAAGCUACAAACAUUUUGCAUCUUGCAAAACAAACACUAUGCCCAUUGACUAAUUCCCUAUUUCUCCUGCCCCUAGACUGUGGACAUCAGCAUUCCACCUUCUGCCUCCGUGAAUCUGAUUCCUCUAGAGAUUUGCUGUAAAUGGAAGCAGCAUACUCAUCUUCUAGUGACUGGCUUGUUUCACUUAAUGCAAUGUCAAUAUCCAUCCAUGUUGUAAGAUGACAGGAUUUCCUUUUAAGACUUGGUAAUAUUCUGAUGUAUGUGUAACAGCCCACUGUGUUUAUCCAUUAAUUGGAGACACACACGGGUUACUGGUACCUGUUAAUGUAUAUGCAAAUAUCUCUUGGAGACCCUGCAUAGAGUCCUUUGAAUAAAUUACCGUUA
rnacentral:lncRNA from 1 species